rnacentral:rRNA from 1 species
UACAGAGGUCUCAAGCGUUGCUCGGAUUCAUUGGGCGUAAAGGGUGCGUAGGCGGCGCGGUAAGUCGGGUGUGAAAUCUUGGAGCUUAACUCCGAAGCUGCAUUCGAUACUGCCGUGCUUGAGGACUGGAGAGGAGACUGGAAUUUACGGUGUAGCGGUGAAAUGCGUAGAUAUCGUAAGGAAGACCAGUGGCGAAGGCGGGUCUCUGGACAGUUCCUGACGCUGAGGCACGAAGGUCAGGGGAGCAAACGGG